AAAGUCGUAACAAGGUUUCCGUAGGUGAACCUGCGGAAGGAUCAUUAACACGUAUCCAACGUUAAAAACCCUGUGAACUUUCAGCCUGCUCUUGUAGCCCGUGUGAAGCAGCAAUUCCGGUAAAUCAAGUGGGAGGAACAUUUUUGAUUCGGAACCUCCGCUCCAUAUGCGAUAAGUUACAAUUGAGCGGUAGAAGCAGUGGCAUGGCGUCCCCAAGCCUCCAGUGAAUGACAGCGUCACUGGAACAGUGUAAGGAUAACGCUUCUCGGUUGCUAGAGGUCGAUCACCGACCGGCAGACAUGUCACAGGGUCACCGCGCCCCUAAUCACUCCCUCUGAAAUGUUGACGCCCCGAUGAAAAUCCGGGUGAGAAAAAACCGAACAACUGUUAACAAUGGAUAUCUUGGUUCUC
rnacentral:misc_RNA from 1 species